rnacentral:rRNA from 1 species
GACGAACGCUGGCGGCGUGCCUAAUACAUGCAAGUAGAACGCUGAAGGAGGAGCUUGCUUCUCUGGAUGAGUUGCGAACGGGUGAGUAACGCGUAGGUAACCUGCCUGGUAGCGGGGGAUAACUAUUGGAAACGAUAGCUAAUACCGCAUAAGAGUAGAUGUUGCAUGACAUUUGCUUAAAAGGUGCAAUUGCAUCACUACCAGAUGGACCUGCGUUGUAUUAGCUAGUUGGUGGGGUAACGGCUCACCAAGGCGACGAUACAUAGCCGACCUGAGAGGGUGAUCGGCCACACUGGGACGGAGACACGGCCCAGACUCCUACGGGAGGCAGCAGUAGGGAAUCGUCGGCAAGGGACGGAAGUCUGACCGAGCAACGCCGCGGGAGUGAAGAAGGUUGUCGGAUCGUAAAGCUCGGUUGUAAGAGAAGAACGAGUGUGAGAGUGGAAAGUUCACACUGUGACGGUAUCUGAUCAGAAAGGGACGGCUAACUACGUG